rnacentral:tRNA from 2 species
GGGUCGUUAGCUCAGUUGGUAGAGCAGUUGACUCUUAAUCAAUUGGUCGCUGGUUCGAACCCAGCACGACCCA